AUUGAACGCUGGCGGCAGGCCUAACACAUGCAAGUCGAACGGUAACAGGGAUCAGCUUGCUGAUUCGCUGACGAGUGGCGGACGGGUGAGUCAUGUCUGGGAAACUGCCUGAUGGAGGGGGAUAACUACUGGAAACGGUAGCUAAUACCGCAUAACGUCGCAAGACCAAAGAGGGGGCCCUUCGGGCCUCUUGCCAUCGGGUGUGCCCAGAUGGGAUUAGCUAGUAGGUGGGGUAACGGCUCACCUAGGCGACGAUCCCUAGCUGGUCUGAGAGGAUGACCAGCCACACUGGAACUGAGACGCGGUCCAGACUCCUUCGGGAGGCAGCAGUGGGGAAUAUUGCACAAUGGGCGCAAGCCUGAUGCAGCCAUGCCGCGUGUAUGGAGAAGGCCUUCGGGUUGUAAAGUACGUUCAGCGGGGAGGAAGGGAGUAGAGUUAAUACCUUUGCUGAUUGACGUUACCCGCAGAAGAAGCACCGGCUAACUCCGUG
rnacentral:rRNA from 1 species